CUAAGCGCUCGCCGGCCGGUGGAGGCGGGGCUGGGCGGGGGGAGGCCCGCCAUGCUGAUCACGCUCUGCUACCUCUACCUAUGGGCGCGCUGGGGGCCUUGCUCGGCCGCACUCAUCCGCCGCACCGUGCGCCGCCUCCACCGCUCCCGUUGCUCCUUCACCUUCUGUUGCUCCGCCGGCCCUGCGGCGCCUCCGGCUCAUCUUCCGCUCAGGCCGGCACCGCCCGAAGAGCGAGUCUGCCUCAGGAUAGGAAACAAAGUCUUCUUCACGGACGAGACGCAGCUCCUCGAUGAUUUAAACAGAUGGAGUCUACUUCUCAUUUCUCCUCUUAUUUAUCCUGAUAAGUUACUAGAAGCGGAACAUAUAGCUUUUGUGACAGAAAGUGUUUCAGCUCAGGCAGAUAACUUGCAGAAAUUACCUGUGUCCUCAAAAGAGAUUGUGAAGUGGUCUGACUAUUGUUCACCGUUGGCCUAUAAACCUGGGGAACCAUAUAAGUUAAUUGCUGAAGCAAGUGUAGAUAAUUUCAGUAACCUUGGAAUAGCAUUCAUGGAAGACAGGCUUCAAAUGGAUAACGGAAUGGUUCCAUGCAAGAUUGUUUCUGUCCAUUUACAAGAAAAUACUCUGAAGGAGUUAAAACAGGUGACACCAUCUAUGAAAAAGAGUGCAAGCAUUACACAGAUGAAUGAAGUAACUCCUGCUACUUUUGGAACUACUAUUAAAACACAAUGUGGAAUAGCUGAGUCUGCAGGACAAGGUGAUCCAGAGGCAAAAGAAGAGAAAUCUAAGCUAGGAAAAGAAAAUGAGCACAAAGAUGAAUCCAACAGUCUAUCUGACAAAGAGACAGGUUUUGGAGAGCAUCAUCACUUGCAUCUUUCCAGCUGUCAUGAAUGUCUACAGCUUGAAAACAGCACUAUCGAAUCAGUCAGGUUUGCCUCUGUGGAAGCCAUUCCAGAACUUCCUGAUGAUUGCAAUAGCAAAUUGGAAGAGAAUGGUGAUUGUCUAACAACAGGAAUAAAGAGAGUAAACCUUGCCGGAAAGCCCCCUAAUAUAUUGAUUUAUGUUGGCUCUGAAACUGCAAAAGUGGGCUUUGAGCAAGUAAAAUCAGUCAUUCAGGAAUGUGUUGAUACAGACAGCUACACCAUCUACCAGUUGCAUGAGGAACAAGUUCUGAAAGCUCCAUGGAUUGAUAAUUCAGUGCUGUUGAUCAUUGCCACAGAAAAGCCUAUUUCUGAGAAGAACCAAAAACAGUUUAUGAGGUUUUUAUCUAAAGGUGGAAAGAUUCUAGGGUUGUCUUCCUCUUUUGCAUUUGAUGGUUUACAAAUAAAGAGGAAAGACAAACUGAAGAGAACUGUUCAUGAAUUAGUGGUCACUAAAAUGGACAGUACUGAAAUGAAGUUAAAUCUUUUGAUCACUGGCUGUAUUUUUGAUGUAGCGAUGAAGGAAGGGAGCAGCAAAGUGAAGCCAUUGAGUUGCUUAAAUAAUGCUGAUAAAGAUGUAGUUAUUGUUCAUCUGCCUUAUGGAGACAAUGGAGGAGAAGCCAUUCUUUCUCAGGUACAUUUGGAACUGGAUACUAAUUCUGUGGAUAUCCAAACUGAAGAGGAUUUUAAUUUGCUUAAGAUGAGCAAUUCCAAGAGAUACGAAGUUCUCCAGGACAUUCUGAUAUCACUCGGCCUGAGUUGUGAAUUAAGUGAAGUUCCUACGUUGACACCUAUUUACCUUCUCUCUUCUGAUGAGGAAAUCCAUCUUACAUUUUUAAAAUGGCUUGAGGAGAAUGUAAAUGCUGAAGGAUUAAUAGAAUCCAGCAAAGUGUCUCUUAAAUUUGUUUCGUCUUGUGAAUCGGAAGUGGAGAUAACUCCAUCUCUCAUGUCAGUCGUCACCGAGAUGGGAAACUUCUCAUCAGAACAUUUCAGCCUGGAGACAUAUCAGCAGAAUCUACGAACAAAAAAACUUGGAAAGAUUGUUUUAUUUACUGAAGUUACCACCUCAACAAUGAAUCUUCUAGACGGGUUAAUGUUCAAGUUGCCUGAGGAGAUGGGUUUAAUAGCAAUCGCUGUUCGACAAACACAAGGGAAAGGUCGUGGUGGAAAUGUUUGGCUCAGUCCCCUUGGUGGUGCACUAUCCACUUUACAUAUCACAAUUCCUCUACAUUCCAACUUGGGCCAGAGGAUUCCUUUUAUUCAACACCUAGUGUCCUUGGCAGUGGUAGAGUCGGUUAGAUCAUUCCCAGGAUAUGAGGAUAUUGACCUGCGAGUAAAAUGGCCAAAUGAUAUUUAUUACAGUGAUCUUAUGAAGCUUGGUGGAGUUCUGGUAACUUCUACACUUAUUGAAACAACAUUUCAUAUACUUAUUGGCUUUGGAUUUAAUGUGAAUAACAGCAACCCCACCAUAUGCAUCAAUGACCUCAUCACAAAAUUUAAUAAGGAAGAGGGGACAAAUCUGAAAGCUUUAACUGCAGACUGCCUUAUUGCAAGAACUGUAACUGUGCUAGAGAGGCUUAUAGAUAUUUUUCAGGAGAAAGGGCCCAAUGGAGUUCUUCCUCGUUACUACAAGUACUGGGUGCACAGUGGUAAGCAGGUUCGUCUCCACAAUGAGGAGGGCCCGUUGGCAUGGAUAGUUGGGAUUGAUGAUUAUGGAUUCCUUCAAGUUCAUGAAGAAGGCAAAGGUGUAGAGUCUGUGCAUCCAGAUGGCAACUCCUUUGACAUGCUGAAAAACCUCAUAGUACCAAAGCAUUAGUAGUUCUCAGAGUUCACAACACAAAAGGAGGCUUUUCUUUACUAUUCAAUACCAAGUAGUUAAGUUUGCGUAGAAGUGGGAAGAGUGUUCGAUGGUUUGUUUGUUUGGUUUUCUUCUUCCUAUUUCUGAUGUCUUUUGUUCUUUGAGAUGUAUAACUUCAACAAUUUAAGAAGAGUUAAUUAUCUUUUUGAUGAAGGUGUUCAUUUUUCUGUAUUGUCUUAAAAACUCAUCUAUGUUACCAUUCUUUGUAAGCAUCGAUUCUUUUAACGGACUCUGAUUUCAACAGAAUACUGUGCAAUGAACAGAACUUUUUCUUCAAUUACUCACUGUGAGAAACCGAAGUGGCUAAAUAUUUUGUUUUCAGGUGUCUGUGUUUUUAUUGUGCUUUAGCACAAUGAAGUACGAUAUUUGCAUUUUAACUAGAUUCUGAUUUUUGCUCUGUCUGCAGUGGAAUCAUCUGGAAGAGUUCAUCAUGUAUUUCUGAAUUACUGGGCUUAACACCAUAUUUAGAUUCAGGUCUAAGUAGAGCCUUGCUGACUUGGUUCUUCUUCACAUGAACACGUACAACACCUUACAUACUGUGCUUUGGUUGCAGGUAUGCAACUCUGUCAUGGCUGCCUUGAGUUUUUGGAGAGUCUUCCAUCAACUCUUAAGAACUAUGAUUGGUUAAGCCUAUUUAUUUUUGGCCUGCUCUUCUUUGCUAAUUGGAUCUAAGUGAAUCAUCUCAUGUCUCCUUUAAAUCAGUGUUCUGAAAGGGUUUAGCCCUGCAAGAAUAGUCCUCUGGGAGUCAUGACUAGUAUAGCUUCUGAUUUCAAUACUCUUAUACAAGUUCAUCGCUAUAAUAGUGAUGAAGUUAAGCGAAUAAGAGAAGAUGUCCCAAUCUUAAGAUCCCUACUUCAACCACUAUGCUGGAAAUGACAAAACGUAAAGUUACUUGUGUCCAAAUUCUCUUCCACUGCUUCUGUUUUCUCCAAUCCCUUUCCCAAAGCAGGCACCUGUUUUUUCUGCUAACCACUGAAAAUGAGGUUUGACAUCUGCUGACUAGCAGGAUGCUUGCUUUUGGGGCUGGCCACGUGGUUCUGGGUUAGGUGUAACAGCUUGGUUGCUUGGAAAGCAACAAGAGGUAGGCAUGUGGGAGCUCCUGUGUGAUAGGCAGAUUAUCGGGUUUCUCUCCUGUGCCAGAUGACUUUGUAUUCUGUCUGGCCUCAGAGCACUUCAAAUGGUUCUCUCAAAUAAGAAGUUUAUCAUAGGUGUGAUGUGGCCAGCUUCAUUUCCUCCAGUAGGCAACACCACUUAUUAUGUACCUUGUCCCUACUAAAGUUGGAUCAGCCAGAUUGAUUUCUACAAAGCAUUUUUGUCUACCAGCCAGAAAUGGGUUUUUUAGGUUAAAGUUCACCUCAUAAACAAUCUGAACUUGUUAGUAGAUUGUUUCAGUUACAAAGCCAAGAAGUCUUAAAGCAAAGAAGCUAGUCUGUAAUGGUAAUUUACAGUAAUCCUCACAUAUUAGGUUUUAGGUGGUUUGGCAGCAAGUGCUAGAAAUUAAGUUGUCCUUCUCACACUUGGGAUUUUACGCUCCAUAUCGCAAUAUAUCAGUUUGUGUGCCCGGUUAUCUGUCCCCUGCUGUUUUGUUUCCCCUUGUGAUCUGUGUCAAACAAGACUGCACACCAGUACUUCGUAGAAUUGUACGGGGGAGUGUAGACAGCUGUUAACUGGCUUAGCUGAAAUGAUGCACAAGAUCAUCAAUUUUUCCUUUUUCCCCAGAGAUGCUUUCCAAACUGCUUUGGGCUGUUAAUUUUUGGCAACUACCUUUAUUUCAGAAUCAAGCAAAUAUUAUCAUAAAAUGAUAUGUAAAUCUGAAUUAAUAAAGUUUUUAAAGGAGCCCAUUUAUAUAUACACGUGUAGUAUGUGUGCAGGUGUGUAUAUGCACAACUUCUGUGUCUGUUUUCACUUCUAAUUCUACCUUUUCCUUUCUAGCUGUGGAAAGCAUAGUUCUGUUACUGGUUUUUGACCAUAGAAUUUUUAAAAACUUUAGAUCUGUAGUUCUCAAAGUGUCUGUUUUGUUACAGUAGAGUUUGCCAAUAGGAAACACAGUUGAUACCACUUCUAUUUCAGAUAGAGUGAUGAGUGCUGUAGAGUUUACUUUAAAUGCCAUGCAUUACUUCUUUACAGUGUGCUCUUCCUUACUCUAGGUGCAGGGACUGAAAGAACACUGGGGAAAAAGAUAAAGCAUGCUCCUGGAGGAAGGGCAGAAUGGAGUACUUGCAAAACUUCUUAGCUAAGCAAGUGCUGAGCAGAAAGCAGAUGUAUUUUCAAUACUAAAUUGCUGCAAUAUAAUAAUUGCUAUUAUUCCUAUCUGGCUUUCUUCAUAUUCUUUGCAAUGAAACACAUGUUUUAUUCUUGCUUUGUGUUUUAAGAUUAUUCCAAAACAAGUUUGGGAAGAAACUUAACAUUGAACUUCCUUUCUGAAAGUGAGAAUUAUCAGCUGUGGAUUUGUCAGAGCAUUGGUAGGUGAUGUGGGGAUAUUACUUUGCCUCUAUUUUUUAGUGGCCUCUUCAUGCACAUCUGCAGCUACCUGCUGUCUUGAGCAAAUGGCCUUGAGUUGAAUGAGGUGUUUGUUAUAGACCUGACCUUUCUUUCAGAAAAAUCAAAGAACUUCACAAAGAAAAUGCGUGCUGCUUACAGAGAGCAUUGGAAUAAGGUCAUUUUGACUAGCAGCUGCUACUGUCAGGAAAGCCCAUGAACCUUCCUAUACCACACUCAUCCCUAGGGAAUAUCUGGGAAUCACAGCCACUGAUUGUACUCUUAUUAUGGCAAACUUGUUGCAUUCUGAAAACCACAAUGUUUUUCUAUGAAAAUCAUUUUUAGUAUUGUUCUUUACAUAAGACAGACAAAUGUGGUGUCGUGUGGUCUCAGAACGCAGGUAUGGAGAGACUAGGGCAUCUCUGGACUCGGAAGUAAUGCACUGAAACUGUUCAAUUUUAUUAAAAUGUGGAACAUUUCGUCCGUGUGAGGUUGUUGUCAUAUCUUGAUGAAGUGCUUUCGUAGAACAUUAAUCACUGUCUGUAUUUCUGUGACUUCCUUUUUUUUUUUCCUCUCAGAUUGUUACACAUGUUCUCAUCACACACUGUGAAAAUAUCUGUAGAGGUUGUUUGUCAGCAGGGAGUCUUUUUGCAGGGUGAGCUGGGUGUGUUGGCACCUGUCUGCAUUCAGAACGAAUACGUGGGUUGCGUCCCUGCAGGACCAAUGCUGUUUCCAAAGGUUUGAAAAAGAAUAACAUACUUAACAUGUAACAGUUCAAGAAGUGCAUCUCACUUCUAUUAAAGGUUUUAUAAGAUUUCAGAGCUUUUUAAAAAUCUGUUCAGGAAAUAUCAUAUACUUCAAGGGCUGUUAUCUAGAAAUAAUAUUGGAGUAUUUAAUUCUUUAUGCUGCUAUUCUAUUGCUCAACUUUGUUUAAUUUCUCUACUUUUUCUGAUGCAGCUACAAGACUUCACAAGUCUAAAAAAAUUACUCUCUGCAACUGCUUUGGAACAGAUAAUUGCUAUAAAUGUUUUCUGAAGUACAGCUUAAUAGCUGUCAUGGCAAAGAUUUGUGCUGCCAACAGCUGAUGGAUUCCUGGGGGGAAAUGCCCUGAUAAAGCCAUCUGCAUGCAUAAGAUGUGGCAGUGAUGCACAGCACUGAUCAGACAGCAAAGAAAUUAAAUCUGGACUGAGAGACAAGUACUGAUAUUCUGGGAGGUAUCCUUCAGAAAAGCAGCCUUUCCGCUUUAUCGCAGUGAGAUACACUCAAAUUUUACAACUUUAACCCAAUGUACUCAAUUUCGUUAAAUUACUGAAAUGCCCUUUAGAAAUGACCUAACUGCUGUCACCAGGAGAGAAGUCUGUUUCCGUACCACCUUAUUUACACUGCACAGUUUCCAUGAAUAGGAGAAAAACUUUUGAGACAUCAAUAUGGGAGCCAUGUUUUCAACUUUAGGUUUUGGUAAGAUAUUCCCUCUCUCAACUCUCUCUCUUCCAUUCCGCAUGUACUUGCUAUAGCCCUGCCCUCCCCCGAGAUGUACAAUCCUGUCACGUUGCACGAAAGAGGCAUCUCUGAUAGAAGUAUCUAUAUUAGCUCACAUAUGUACAGUUGAAAGAAAUUUGGGCAUUUUUUGUAAUGUAGUCCUAUUCCCACUCCACUUCUGUGUCAUAAUUUUUUCCAAUUGCUGGGAGCAUUGCCACUCUCAGUGGCCACAUCGCAUUCUGCAGCAUUAAUGUACUGUGAACAUCUGUAGUUCAACUGACUGAAAGUCAGUGUCUGAACUCGUGUUUUUCUCUCGAUGUAAUUUGCUCACAUUCCAGCUGUGAAUAUGCAAUUGCUGUUUCUAUUUUUGAAUGGCAGGAAAAAAUGUUUCACACGUUUGCUUUUUUAAUCACAGAUCUUUUCUUAAAUCUACAAUGCAUUAUCAGAUGUGAAUGCGUAAUUGAGUCGUUAUUUCCUAACAGGGAAAUUCAUGUAUCUGAAUCUCAUAUACUGUAAAACUUCUGUGGGAGGGUGAUGGAACACCUCCUUUACUUGAGAUUGUUGAAUAAAGCCUGAAAGUGUGAAUAACAAGGUAGAGGCUGGAAAAAUAUUUUGUGGUAUUUUAAUGAAAAAUAUCAGUGGAGGUUUUUUGACUGAAGCGUAAUUUAUAUGUUCCUGAAAACAUGUUUUUGUAAUGAGAAAUAGUUAGAAGAACAGGAAAAUACAGCAGAUUGACUUUGUGUGCAGCAGUGCCACUAAUGAGGUAUUGGGAGACAUGCAGUAUGAAGCAGUUGUGCAUCAGGUUUCUUUUUAAUGAUGCAAUGUCAGUUUCUCCUUAAUAGGGCAUGGCUUUAAUUUGAGAAAAUUAGCAUACAGGUCUUAGCAUCAUUGUACCUUUUAAGAAGUUGGUUGCGUUCAUUAGGAACACUGGCUGGGAAGGCCGUUAAAGAAAGCCACUAUAAAGCCAGCUCAUGUCUCGGCAAUUCAUAACAUCAGAAUGAUAAUAACAUUCACACAUAACAUUUCUAUAGCUUUGCCACAUUCUCCAGCUCGAGAAGAACAAAGGAGUGCAAUUAAACUGAAGGUGUUGGUUUGGUUUCACUCAUUUUAUGUUGUUGCUAAAAAGUCAGAUCCGGUACUUCUGAUCAUAUUUAUCAUGAAAGAUAUCUUUCAUAUGUUUUUUAGUAAAUGAAGUCAGACGACUGAGUUUCCAAGCGAACAUGAAUUCAAUUUCAUAACAAAGCUUUCUCUGUUAAACUUUUAAUCAAAAGCAAUAAAAAUACUGAAAAUUAUUUUCAGAUGUGUUAGAAGUAUUUUUGUUUACUCAUAGCAAUAAAUAUUCAUACAUACAAAGAGGUGACUGAUUAUUUUUGCUGCACGUAGAAGAUGGAGGGCGUGUAAUUAAGAGAGUGUGUAUUUCAUUACAUUUUCCUCUGACAAGGUGCAAUCCAUGAGCAAGUAUUUUUCCAUAUUACACAAGCCAGGUAAGCAUUUUCUUUAGCAAAGGUCUCUUUCUAGAGCGUCAGAUAAGAGGGAGAAAGCUUCUAAAAUGUAAACUUGAAUUGGGUGAACAAAUGGGGCUAAAUACAGCUGGCUCAGAACUACAACAGCCUUCAGUGUUGGUAUUUACAUCUAUUACAUGGGGAGCGUUCAUUGUUUUGCCCAAAGCACAUGAAGACUGUUUGGGGAAGCAAUGGAAAGACAAAUUGGACAGACUCAUCAGUAAAACAUUCACAGAUCCUAUACGUCUCCUUAUUUCCUGGUUUGCAAACAUUAUGGAGAAGUGAAAAAAGGGGAAAUCUAUUCUUAGUAGGCUGGACAAAAUUCAAAUGUAUGGCAUAUGCCUUCUACUUGCUAGUUUAUUGGACUGAAACAUGUGCAAAGUAUUCACUUCAAAACACUGAGGUAUCCUGCUCUACUUCCAGUGCAAUCUUGCAUCUUGUGGUUGUGCAAUGACUUCAGACUUUUCUUACCGAGAUUGUCCAUUGACAUAAUUUGUGAAGUGCAUCAAUCAGUCAAAUAAUGAAUCUUACCUUCGUGUUGACAAUGAGAUUUAUGCUUAAUGAAGUCCAGUGUGUUAAAAGCUGAACUUUUUCAAAUUCAGAAGGCUACAAAUAAUUUUAAAAUCAUGCUUAAAUGUUCAUUAUUCCCUUGACAAUAAAGAGAACAUUUCUUGUGCUAAGAUUAAGAUGUUAUUUUGACUACCUGGUUUGAAUAACAACAAGUCCUUAUCCCAAAAUAUUGAGCAAAAUACACUUUUUAGAAGUUUCUUUUUCUUAUUAUACUGUUUUUAUUGAGGAAUAUCUUUAGCUCCUGCUGUGUGAUUUGUGCCAAUUCACCAUGACAAGACCUGUAACCUUUUAAUACAUACCUUUUUAUGUAUGAAUUUGUCACAAUACCAUCACUUGUUAAGAUUAAAUGGUGGCAGUAAAAAUUUCUGAAUACUGAAAAAAAUGUGUGAUAAGUAAUAAAUAAGCAUGUUCCAAACUUAAUUAUGUUUGGUUAGUACAACUGUAUUACAGAUACUAAAAAUCACCACUCUUUAAACAAAGUUCAUUUGUCAGGACGUGUAACAGAUGGGCGGGUAGCUGAUGUAGGGUUUCACACUUUGUCAAAAAUACCUAAUCUAGAGUGUACAGUUUAUGAUAAUGAUAACAAAAAGAAAAUAAUAAUAUCUUGAAUGUGUUUUGAGAAGGAAGGAUUAAGGGAAAAAUUGUUCUUCAUAUAAACCUCUGCAUAUAACACCUAUCAUUUAAUUUUGUUGCACACUAUAAAAUAACAAAAAUAAGAUCUGCAACAAAUCUUCUCACUGGCACCAGAGCUUAAGCUUUGCCAACAAAGCACUGAAGCGAGAUGUAUUCUUUUUUCCUCGCCUUGAAGGUACUGUCACACAUGUCUUGCCAGGAACACACAAGUCUGUCCCUCAUUGACCUUCAGCUGUGCUCAGUAAAUGUAACUAUGUUUUCUCAUGCUUUUUGGAAAUCAUUACUGUUUGGCUUCUUAGU